GUAAUUUUUUAUUCAUGUUGAAGCAAGACACGUUAAAUCAUAUAUAUGAAAGUUGGUCAACUCUCUCUGUAUGAGUGACACAUCAACACCUAAAAGAAUGUCACAUGUCCAAAUAGAAUUUAAAGCUAAAAAGUUAAAAUUAAGUUUUACCUUCCAAUAAUCAAUGACUUUUAUAUACUUCUUC
rnacentral:sRNA from 1 species